GGUCUCACUCCUGCCACCCAGACUGUAGUGCAGUGGUGAUCAUGGCUCACUGCAGCCUCGGCUUCCUGAGCUCAGGUGAUCUUCUCCCUCAGCCUCACAAGUAGCUGGAACUACAGAGCAACUAAAAUUUACUGGAUACUUCAAAUAUGGAUAAAAUGCUUCAGAACUAGAAUGCAGGAUACAUGAAAACCUUUGCAGAAUUUACUUGAAAGGGGAAAUGCUCAGUUACACCCCGACCUGCCCUGCUCACGAAGAACAGAUUUUCCAAGUAAUAUACUGUUAAAAAAUGAUGGGGUCUUGCUAUGUUGCUCAGGUUGAACCUGAACUUCUGGGCUCAAGUGAUCUUCCCGCCUCCCAAAUAGCUGGAACUAUAGGUGUGUGCCACCAUCAGUGGCUUGUUUUGCCUACUUUUAUACUUGAUAUAUACAUAGGUAUAUGGAAUUAUAUAAUAUAAGCUUAUUUGUGUGUGCUUUUUCCAUUAUGUUUGGGAUAUCCAUCCAAAUCACUGCAUGUAGUUGUACUUUAUUCAUUUUCAUUGAGUACCAUAUUCCAUCUUAUAAAAAUGUGACAAAUG